GGCUCUUAAUAAGUUUCAGGUUUGGGACUAUGAUCCUCAGAUCUCAGCCUCCUGAGUAGCUAGGAUUACAAGCUUGAGCAACCAGUGUCCAGUCCUCUUCAAUAAUUGGUCAUGCCUCAUAGAGAGUCCUGCAUCAGAGAGACUUCUGCCUCAUUGAGGAUCCUGCUUUGUGGAGCAUUCUGUCUUACAGAUGACAACCUGCCUUCAUGAGGACCAAGCUGCACAGAGGACCAUGCCUCCUCAAAGGCCCUGAAACCUAGGAGGCACGGCCUCAAAGAGUAGUCUGAAGAGGAUGCAAGGAAUUCAGUUGUACAGUGUUGGUAACAAUUGAGAUUAGUCUACACACUAUGGUAGUGUGGUGAAUCUUCAACAAUCUAAGAAUAGAAUGAUGAUCUCUCUGUAACCCAGCUAUACCACUUUUGGGUACAUACCCAAAGGAAUGUAAGUCCACUUACUAUAAAUAUAAAUGCACACUCAAGUUUAUUGACAUACUAGCCAUAAUAUACCAGUUAUGGUAUCAGCCUAGAUGCCUGUCAAUGGGAGAAUAGACAAUAAAUUUGAGGUUUAGAUAGACAAUGGAGUUUUAUUCAGACAGAAAGAAGAAUGAAAUGACAUUUACAGGAAGAUAAAUGGAACUAGAGAUCAUUGUGUUCAACGAAAUAAGGCAUACUUUGAAAUACAGGUAUCACAUGUUUACUUUCACAUGUAGAUUUACAAACAACCUGGAAAUAGAAAUGUGAAUAUUUGGGAUGAAGAAUUGGACCUGGGUGAAUGUGAUCAAAGUAUAUUCUAAACAUUCAUGAAAGUAUCAAUGAAACCCAUUAUUUUGUAUAACUCACAUCUGCUUAAAAAUGAAUGGGGGAGCUGGGCACCAAUGGCUCAACCUCUCAGGAGGCUGAGAUCUGAGGAUUGUGAUUCUA